rnacentral:tRNA from 1 species
CGCUAAGAAGCUAAACCGGGACAGUAGCGUUAGCCUUUUAAGCUAAAGAAUGGUGCCCCCCCAAACACCCUUAGCGA